rnacentral:rRNA from 1 species
UACGUAGGGUGCAAGCGUUGUCCGGAAUUAUUGGGCGUAAAGAGCGUGUAGGCGGUUCGUUUAGUCUGCUGUGAAAGUCCAGGGCUCAACCCUGGAAUGCCGGUGGAUACUGUCGAGCUAGAGUCCGGAAGGGGCGAGUGGAAUUCCUGGUGUAGCGGUGAAAUGCGCAGAUAUCAGGAGGAACACCUAUGGCGAAGGCAGCUCGCUGGGACGUGACUGACGCUGAGGCGCGAAAGCGUGGGGAGCAAACAGG